rfam:Maribacter sp. T28 contig5, whole genome shotgun sequence.
GGGGCCGACCGGUUUUGACAGCGAGACCAGUUGAAUUGUAAGCAUGUCGAGCGCUGGGAAACAGCUCGUUAAUCUCAUUUUUCACACUUUUAAUUGGCGAAAAUAAUUACGCUCUUGCCGCUUAAUCCGAAUUAUAGUAGGAUUUAGCCUCGUCCCUACAAGGUAGGGAAGCGAGAUGUUCCUGAAUAGCCCUUGUUGAUGGCGAUUCUUAUAGGAGCACCAGAAAAGUCAACAUAAGGGUGUCCGCUCACUUUGGCGACACCACCAAAAUCUUAAGAAGAUAAGUGUGUAUUAGGCGGUUUCUGGUCAGGUACACAUCGAAAACCAAUCAGAUUCUAAACAUGUAGAAAGCACUUUAAUUGCUUGUUUGGACGAGGGUUCGACUCCCUCCGGCUCCACGA